GAAGAUCAUUUAUCAUGAUUGUAAGAGGAGGGGCCCAAGAAUCGAUCCUUGAGCCACUCCUGUGCUGACAUCCAUGACAUUUGACUUU
rnacentral:pre_miRNA from 1 species